UUAAUUUAUUGUCAUAGACACUCAGACAGUCCAAAAAUAUCGGUUUUAAAGCCUCUGGCGGGCGGACCCGCCAAAGCAACGCUCAAAAGGUACGCAAAGGGUGAGGGGCACCCCGACCGAGGCCGGGGACCGCUACUGGUAAUGAUCCUUCCGCAGGUUCACCUACGGAAA
rnacentral:misc_RNA from 1 species